rnacentral:rRNA from 1 species
CCGCCGGCGACCGGCGCACGGGUGAGUAACACGUAUGCAACCUGGCCGUGACAGAUGAAUAACCGGGAGAAAUCCCGCCUAAUACAACAUAAUGCCGGGAGGGGACAUCCCCUGCCGGCCAAAGGGGGCGACCCCGGUCACGGAUGGGCAUGCGGCGCAUUAGGUAGUUGGUGGGGCAACGGCCCACCAAGCCGACGAUGCGUAGGGGUUCUGAGAGGAAGGUCCCCCACAUUGGAACUGAGACACGGUCCAAACUCCUACGGAAGGCAGCAG